GUCAUUUGCCAUUGUACAAACAUUUAAAGCACAUUGUACAAACAUCUUAAGCACAAAUGUGUUGAAAAUACCUUUUCAACACACCUAGAACUCUGUUGGGCGGGAUUUCAAAAUUCAAACACCCAUUGUCAGAUCUAUCUUUUCUUCAUCUAAUCUACACGCCUCUCUCUCCUUUUCUCUUGCUUUUUCCUCUUUUCUCCUAAAUCUCACGCUUUUUCCCUCUUUGUGUUGAACACCGAUGAUGGAAGAAAUCCCAUUCGUUUCGCAGCUUAUAAACACCGAUUUGAAGAAAUCCCCACCGAUUUGCAGGUUUGUUCUCGCACGUGGCACUUUCGGCACCGUCACCUCCUCUCAAAUUUCACUUUCGGUUGAACAGCGGCAGUGACAAUUAGGGUGUUAAGAUCUAGGGUUCCGACAAAAACGGAGAUGGUUACAGUUGGAUUUCAUAUUCUGGUGGCGAUGACUAGAUUAUUGAUGAGGUUUUGGUUGGAAUUCGCGACUGCAUGCUCAAGUUUAGGAAAACAAGGGUUUGGUAAGUAGAGAUUCCGGAGAUAUAUGGCAUAAACAAGCUUUCUAUAACAACAAGAAGUAGAAGGCGGAGGUGCUGCUAGGCCCCAACUGUACAAGAUUUGAUAUUUAAAAGUGUAAUUAACACCGUUUCUAUGGGCAAAUGAGUCUGGCCUUGGAAAGUAAGACAAUUAUGUUUGUUAUUUUUACAGGAGAUGUUGAUAAUUUAUGGGAGAUUGAGAAAUUGAGAUCAGGAUUGAUGAAAACUCACACAAUUGGUCAUGGGUUUAUCAUGUGCAAAGGUGUUAAUCAUUCAUAUCAUAUUUUGUUUCAGACACGUAUUUAAUUCAUCAUUUGUGUUCUUUAUUUUUAGGGGUUUCUAUAAUUUGUCAGAGCUACUGGACAUAAAUAUGGAUUCUGCCCAAUGACAACGUUUCAGGUUCAUGAAUAUUUUAGGCCUAAGGUUAUGUUGAAGUUGGGUGAUAUACAUAAAAACAAAUUUCAUACAAGAUAAAACAAGGGGAAGCUUUGUCUCUUGUGUCCUGCCUAAAAAGAGGUAGAAUCUCAUAUCUAAAUAGCAUAUGUUACUGUAAAAGGAGGUUUUUCUAGAGAGUUUAAUUAAUGUGUUGCAUGACUGGCUUGAAUUAAUAGAGGUUUCAGUUAAAAAGAAGCAGGUAGAAUGCCUUUUCACUUAAAAAGAAGCGGGUCGAAUACUUUUUCGCUUAAAAAGAAACGGGUCGAAUGCUUUACCGCUAAAAAAGAAGCGGGUAGAAACCUUUUUUGCUUAAAAAGAAACGGGUCGAAUGAUUUUUUCGCUUAAGAAGAAGCGGGUCAAAUGCUUUCUUGCUUAAAAAGAAACAGGUCGAAUGCCAUUUCGCUUAUAAAGAAGCGGGUCGAAUACUUUUUCGCUUAAAAAGAAACGGGUCGAAUGCUUUACCGCUAAAAAAGAAGCGGGUAGAAACCUUUUUUGCUUAAAAAGAAACGGGUUGAAUGAUUUUUUCGCUUAAGAAGAAGCGGGUCAAAUGCUUUCUUGCUUAAAAAGAAACAGGUCGAAUGCCAUUUCGCUUAUAAAGAAGCGGGUCGAAUGCUUUUUCGCUUAAAAAGAAGCGGGUCAAAUGCUUUUUUGAUUAAAAAGAUACGGGUCGAUUGCUUUUUCAAUUAAAAAGAUAUGGGUCGAAUGCUUUUUCACUUAAUAUGAAUCAAGGUGAUCCAUCUGGCAGAGGUUUGGGAUUUAGUUACGUUCGCACGGCUCCAAAGGCACCGGUUUCCAAGCCGACAGUCUAUGCAAAACAUGGAAAUGGUGCUUAUAUUAUCAUCAUAUGUCUUUAUGUUGAUGAUAUGAUCUAUACCAGUUCUUCUACAAAAAUUUUGCUUGAAUUAAAACAAAAAAUGGUCACUGAGUUCGAAAUGACAGACAUUGGGAAGCUAACAUACUUUAUGGGACUAGAAGUACAGCAAAGAUCAGAUGGCAUUUACUUGUCUCAAAAGCAAUAUGCUAAGGAUAUAUUGAACAGGUUUGGAAUGGCUUCAUGCAAGUGUAGCCGUUACAAUCCCGCGCAGAGUCAGUCAAAUAAGUUAUUCGAUGACAACGGACACAGAAAUUAUGGUGGAUCUGAAGGCAGCAGAGGUGGAUAUGAAAAUCAACGGCCGUGAUGCAAUAGGAUUCCGGCAGGUAUUUGGGUGACCAGAGUAUGACGUUCUAGCUUUUCCCAAUGAUAUAUAUAACUUCUGUUCAGAUUUUACCUUAUUUGAAAUCUUGGGGCUUCCAUUUUAAGUUUUUCCUAAUUUUAUAAUUUUGGAGGAUACGUAACUUGCAUUUUGUAGGGUGGAUUUUGGAUCAGACUUUGUUUGGUUCAAAAACUGAAUUGUUUUGUUUGUAUCUGUGUUAAUUGUUUGGUGCUUAAAACCUACUGGAUUUGUAUCAGUUGAGUUUUGACUUUUAAGUCAUGAAAGAGUUUUUGAACA